GUGUGGGUGUGUCCAUGAAGGUUCCCCUUCCCCUGCUGGCCUCCCUUCCUUCCAAAACUGGCCUGUUCAGCUGUUCUUCGGCCCAUUCGGGCCUUUCCCCGCAGCACAGCAGCCAUUUUGAAGGCUGUCAUGCCUGUGCAAUGGGCCUCUGUGAAGAAGGUAAGGAAGACAGCAGAGGCAGAGGACAUGAGGAAGCAGUGGUGGUGGAUACAUUCACAGAUAGUGAGUGAGCCUUUCUGUCUGUCACUGGAUAUUUGUGUUGGGUGGAUAUUCAGUAAGCAGAGACUGUCUCCAAAUGUGUAUUUGCAAAGUAACUGACAUAUGGAAGACCUGAUCUUAUCUGAAAUCGCCUGGCCAUGCCUGAAAUAUGUUGCAGGAAGAGCAGUGACCCGGACUGUGAAGGCUUUUGAUUGAGGGUGUCUGAAUCCAAAGUUGCUCUGAUGUUUUAUUUGAUGGGUUCUGCCGUCUGCAAAUGAUGGAAAAUCCAGUGGAAAAAGAUUGCAUGAAAAGGUCGAGUGGGAGAUGGAGUCCAUAGACGUUGCUAAAUGGCUAGCUUGGAUAAACGAUUAUGACCGUCUGUCCAUCACAUUUAGGAAUUUCUGUGCUAACUAGUUCUGCAGGAUUCCUACGCCUUGGUGACGGUAAAAGUUGUCAAAACCGUAGAAGCAUCCGGCUUGUCUGUGUUGACCCUACAUUCCUGAAGAGGAUUGCUUUAAGUCUUACUUGGUUUUAUAUUAUGAGUUAAAUUUCAUAUCUUUCAGUGCCUCAAGAUUCUUACAGUGUGAUGUGAUGCACUUGGAGCAUUUGAACCAUAGCCCUACUUGGAUAUACCAGGACCUUCUCCAUGUGUAGUCUGCCCACUGAGCUAUAGAUGUUCCUGCUGAACCUGUGAAGUGGCCUUGUACUGAAUUAGACCAUUGAUCCACCAAGGUCAAUAUUGUCUGCUACACUGACUGAAAUUGGCUUUCCAGGGUUUCAGGUGGGAGUCUUCCCCAGUCCUACCUGGAGAUGGUGGGACCUGGGACCUUCAGCAUGCCAAGCAGGCACUCUACCACUGAGCUACAACCCUGCCCCAAAGUUGAGCUCAUUCAUGUGUACAACCUGGUGAGAUACUUGUUUAUUUGUUUAGGAACAUAAGAAGCUGCCAUAUACUGAGUCAGACCAUAGGCCCAUCUAGCUCAGUAUUGUCUACACAGACUGGCAGCUGCUUCUCUAAGGUUGCAGGCAGGAAUCUCUCUCUGCCCUAUCUUGGAGAAGCCAGGGAGGGAACUUGGAACCUUCUGCUCUUCCCAGAGCGGCUCCAUCCUCUGAGGGGAACAACUUACAGUACUCACACUUCUAUUCUCCCUUUCAUAUGCAACCAGGGCUGACCCUGCUUAGCUAAUGGGACAAGUCA